rnacentral:rRNA from 1 species
UGGGGAAUCUUGCGCAAUGGCCGAAAGGCUGACGCAGCGACGCCGCGUGUGGGAUGAAGCAUUUCGGUGUGUAAACCACUGUUGCCCGGGACGAACAGCCAGUUUCGACUGGCCUGACGGUACCGGGUGAGGAAGCACCGGCUAACUCCGUGCCAGCAGCCGCGGUAAUACGGAGGGUGCGAGCGUUGUCCGGAAUCAUUGGGCGUAAAGGGCGCGUAGGUGGCCUGCUAAGCGUGCGGUGAAAGCUCGGGGCUCAACCCCGAGUCGGCCGUGCGAACUGGUGGGCUGGAGCACUGUAGAGGCAGGCGGAAUUCCGGGUGUAGCGGUGGAAUGCGUAGAGAUCCGGAAGAACACCGGUGGCGAAGGCGGCCUGCUGGGCAGUUGCUGACACUGAGGCGCGACAGCGUGGGGAGCAAACA